rnacentral:SRP_RNA from 1 species
GCCAGGCAUGGUGGUGUGUGCCUGUAAUCCCAGCUACUCGGGAGGCUGAGGCACGAGAAUCGCUUGAACCCAGGAGACAGAGGUUGCAGUGAGCUGAGAUCAUACCACUGCACUCCAGCCUGGGUGACAGAGCGAGACUCUGCCUCAA